rnacentral:lncRNA from 1 species
GACUUAGCCGAUUCACUGGCAAAACAAGCUGCCAUCAAUGGUGAAACCCUAAACAUUGAUGAUCUUAUGGGUUCAAUUCAUGUUGAAGCCAUAACUAGACGACAGGCUAGAGAUAAUGUCGACUUAAACGUCGUGCAAUGGAGUCAAGAAGCUCCUAGUGAGGACCUGAUUACCAGUCAAAAGAAUGAUCCCGUCAUAGGCAUAUUCUAUAAACAUAUAGAAGACCCUACUGCCAAUCCCAUCACAGAUGAGGAUUGCAAAGAUAAU